rnacentral:rRNA from 1 species
GACGAACCACACGAACGUUAUUCGGAAUUACUGGGCUUAAAGGGUGCGUAGGCGGCGUGGUGAGUUGGGUGUGAAAUCCCUCGGCUCAACCGAGGAACUGCGCCCAAAACUACCAUGCUUGAGGAAGAUAGAGGUAAGCGGAACUUACGGUGGAGCGGUGAAAUGCGUUGAUAUCGUAAGGAACACCUGUGGCGAAAGCGGCUUACUGGGUCUUUUCUGACGCUGAUGCACGAAAGCCAGGGGAGCAAACGGG